rnacentral:rRNA from 1 species
CUACCGGGUGACCGGAUGCCGAUCUCGAAAACCUGUCCCAGUUCGGACUGGAGUCUGCAACCCGACUCCACGAAGUUGGAUUCGCUAGUAAUCGCGCAUCAGCCAUGGCGCGGUGAAUACGUUCCCGGGCCUUGUACACACCGCCCGUCAAGCCAUGGGAGCCGGGGGCGCCUGAAGUCCGGGACCGCGAGGACCGGCCUAGGGCGAAACUGGUGACUGGGGCUAAGUCGUAACAAGGUAUC